rnacentral:rRNA from 1 species
GGGUUGUGAGGUUAAGCGACUAAGCGUACACGGUGGAUGCCCUGGCAGUCAGAGGCGAUGAAGGACGUGCUAAUCUGCGAUAAGCGUCGGUAAGGUGAUAUGAACCGUUAUAACCGGCGAUUUCCGAAUGGGGAAACCCAGUGUGAUUCGUCACACUAUCAUUAACUGAAUCCAUAGGUUAAUGAGGCGAACCGGGGGAACUGAAACAUCUAAGUACCCCGAGGAAAAGAAAUCAACCGAGAUUCCCCCAGUAGCGGCGAGCGAACGGGGAGCAGCCCAGAGCCUGAAUCAGUGUGUGUGUUAGUGGAAGCGUCUGGAAAGGCGCGCGAUACAGGGUGACAGCCCCGUACACAAAAAUGCACAUACUGUGAGCUCGAUGAGUAGGGCGGGACACGUGGUAUCCUGUCUGAAUAUGGGGGGACCAUCCUCCAAGGCUAAAUACUCCUGACUGACCGAUAGUGAACCAGUACCGUGAGGGAAAGGCGAAAAGAACCCCGGCGAGGGGAGUGAAAAAGAACCUGAAACCGUGUACGUACAAGCAGUGGGAGCACAGAGCAAUCUGUGUGACUGCGUACCUUUUGUAUAAUGGGUCAGCGACUUAUAUUCUGUAGCAAGGUUAACCGAAUAGGGGAGCCGAAGGGAAACCGAGUCUUAACUGGGCGUUAAGUUGCAGGGUAUAGACCCGAAACCCGGUGAUCUAGCCAUGGGCAGGUUGAAGGUUGGGUAACACUAACUGGAGGACCGAACCGACUAAUGUUGAAAAAUUAGCGGAUGACUUGUGGCUGGGGGUGAAAGGCCAAUCAAACCGGGAGAUAGCUGGUUCUCCCCGAAAGCUAUUUAGGUAGCGCCUCGUGAAUUCAUCUCCGGGGGUAGAGCACUGUUUCGGCAAGGGGGUCAUCCCGACUUACCAACCCGAUGCAAACUGCGAAUACCGGAGAAUGUUAUCACGGGAGACACACGGCGGGUGCUAACGUCCGUCGUGAAGAGGGAAACAACCCAGACCGCCAGCUAAGGUCCCAAAGUCAUGGUUAAGUGGGAAACGAUGUGGGAAGGCCCAGACAGCCAGGAUGUUGGCUUAGAAGCAGCCAUCAUUUAAAGAAAGCGUAAUAGCUCACUGGUCGAGUCGGCCUGCGCGGAAGAUGUAACGGGGCUAAACCAUGCACCGAAGCUGCGGCAGCGACGCUGAUGCGUUGUUGGGUAGGGGAGCGUUCUGUAAGCCUGUGAAGGUGUACUGUGAGGUAUGCUGGAGGUAUCAGAAGUGCGAAUGCUGACAUAAGUAACGAUAAAGCGGGUGAAAAGCCCGCUCGCCGGAAGACCAAGGGUUCCUGUCCAACGUUAAUCGGGGCAGGGUGAGUCGACCCCUAAGGCGAGGCCGAAAGGCGUAGUCGAUGGGAAACAGGUUAAUAUUCCUGUACUUGGUGUUACUGCGAAGGGGGGACGGAGAAGGCUAUGUUGGCCGGGCGACGGUUGUCCCGGUUUAAGCGUGUAGGCUGGUUUUCCAGGCAAAUCCGGAAAAUCAAGGCUGAGGCGUGAUGACGAGGCACUACGGUGCUGAAGCAACAAAUGCCCUGCUUCCAGGAAAAGCCUCUAAGCAUCAGGUAACAUCAAAUCGUACCCCAAACCGACACAGGUGGUCAGGUAGAGAAUACCAAGGCGCUUGAGAGAACUCGGGUGAAGGAACUAGGCAAAAUGGUGCCGUAACUUCGGGAGAAGGCACGCUGAUAUGUAGGUGAAGUCCCUCGCGGAUGGAGCUGAAAUCAGUCGAAGAUACCAGCUGGCUGCAACUGUUUAUUAAAAACACAGCACUGUGCAAACACGAAAGUGGACGUAUACGGUGUGACGCCUGCCCGGUGCCGGAAGGUUAAUUGAUGGGGUUAGCGCAAGCGAAGCUCUUGAUCGAAGCCCCGGUAAACGGCGGCCGUAACUAUAACGGUCCUAAGGUAGCGAAAUUCCUUGUCGGGUAAGUUCCGACCUGCACGAAUGGCGUAAUGAUGGCCAGGCUGUCUCCACCCGAGACUCAGUGAAAUUGAACUCGCUGUGAAGAUGCAGUGUACCCGCGGCAAGACGGAAAGACCCCGUGAACCUUUACUAUAGCUUGACACUGAACAUUGAGCCUUGAUGUGUAGGAUAGGUGGGAGGCUUUGAAGUGUGGACGCCAGUCUGCAUGGAGCCGACCUUGAAAUACCACCCUUUAAUGUUUGAUGUUCUAACGUUGACCCGUAAUCCGGGUUGCGGACAGUGUCUGGUGGGUAGUUUGACUGGGGCGGUCUCCUCCUAAAGAGUAACGGAGGAGCACGAAGGUUGGCUAAUCCUGGUCGGACAUCAGGAGGUUAGUGCAAUGGCAUAAGCCAGCUUGACUGCGAGCGUGACGGCGCGAGCAGGUGCGAAAGCAGGUCAUAGUGAUCCGGUGGUUCUGAAUGGAAGGGCCAUCGCUCAACGGAUAAAAGGUACUCCGGGGAUAACAGGCUGAUACCGCCCAAGAGUUCAUAUCGACGGCGGUGUUUGGCACCUCGAUGUCGGCUCAUCACAUCCUGGGGCUGAAGUAGGUCCCAAGGGUAUGGCUGUUCGCCAUUUAAAGUGGUACGCGAGCUGGGUUUAGAACGUCGUGAGACAGUUCGGUCCCUAUCUGCCGUGGGCGCUGGAGAACUGAGGGGGGCUGCUCCUAGUACGAGAGGACCGGAGUGGACGCAUCACUGGUGUUCGGGUUGUCAUGCCAAUGGCACUGCCCGGUAGCUAAAUGCGGAAGAGAUAAGUGCUGAAAGCAUCUAAGCACGAAACUUGCCCCGAGAUGAGUUCUCCCUGACUCCUUGAGAGUCCUGAAGGAACGUUGAAGACGACGACGUUGAUAGGCCGGGUGUGUAAGCGCAGCGAUGCGUUGAGCUAACCGGUACUAAUGAACCGUGAGGCUUAACCUUACAACGCCGAAGGUGUUU